CAGAAAAUUACUUUGACCAAGAUAUAUUAUUUAACUUUAUAGGUUAGGAAAGAGACAGUAAUUCUUUCUACAUAUUUCUUCCUGGUUACUGUUUACCCUCUAAUAUAAAUUGACCAUUUGUUAAAUGAUUGUGUUGUUGGGAUUGCUUAAUUAUAAUAGACAUAAACAAAGCAUCUCAACUCUUUCAUACUGUUUGCUGAACAGUUCUCAUUUUGUUACACACCCUCGGCUGCUGAUUGUUUCUGGUAUGCACUCUUCCAGGUUGGUAAAGGUACAGUGCAUUCACACCAGACUUCCUAAGAGAAAUGCCAGCCUCUUAAGUGAAAGGCUACCAUACAAACCCCUUAACAAUAUCAAGAAGCUUGAUUAUAUGUAAAGCAGCAGACUUUCCCGUAAGCCCUUUCAUUAUUUUGUUCCAUGCUAAUCCUGCUGUGUUGUCUAAAAAGGUAAAGGUGAAGAGGACAUGGAUGAUCUGAUAGUGAAAUCAGCAGCAGGCAAGUGAAGCCGUUUGGGGUUACAGAUAAGACUUGGUAUACACUAUCGGCCAGUAUGUGCUACACUAUGAAGAUGUAACUACUCAUUGUUGCCUAGGCACAAGCCUGUACAACAUUUUGAGGUAAAAACAUAGUCUAUUUUCAAAAAUACUGUUGUAGUUUGUUUGUGAGUGUUGUUCAUUAGUCACACAUUAGCUGUAGAGUGAAUGCAUGACGCCCCAUGACCCCAGUAAACUCUUACCGGUAGAAAAACCAAACACUACUGUUCUGUCAUUAGCAGCCCUCUUAAAUGUUGCCUCCGGAUCCUUUACAUUUUAGUAUACAUUGUGUUUCUACUGAUCUCUCUUAGGUUUUUCCCGAAUCAGAGGAAACUAAUUUUUCCCUAAUAGCAAGAAAGAUGAAGAUGUAUAAGGGCAUUGAAGCCGAAGUGUGUAGUUUGGGGUACGAUUAGAAAACUGAUAACGCUCAUAUCCAUGAGGGUCACACCCCCCUCGCCUGCAUUCACGCUUCCCUGCUCUGAGGAAAGGAUGGCCUGGGCCAAGUUUCUACCUGACCACUGCUGCUCCAGCUGAUGCGAUUGCCAACCUGGUGCUCUCUGCCUCAUCACAGUCAAGGAAGAGGCCUCCAGUGAUAGACUGGGUGGCAAGAGCAGACAUCCGUGUUGAGUGUUGAGUUAAUUUAAUUUCCACCCAGCCAUAAUACCCUAGUGACACCAAAUAAAAUGGAAGAAUGCAAGACAACAACGUGCUGUAUGUCUUUUCCUGUUGUUCUGUGAGGGCAUCCUGUGUGCUAAUCUUCUACUGAUGCUUCGCCUUGGAAUCCCUUGGAUGGAAGAGCCUGUCUUACUCCUAGAUCACGAUGACUGGGAAGUAGGCAUUCAAUCAAUAUUGGUCUGGCUGCCUUGGAGAACUAAAUACCAAAUCCUCCACCAGGAGCAGUGACGAAUGGGAGACGGUGCAGCAAAGAAUGAGAUCGCGGAGCCUGGUUACAUGGACUCCAUUCUGAAGCCCAUGUACUGUGUGGAGUGAACACGGUUCAUGCCUGGUCUGUUAUUCCACCAGCCAGCUCAGUCCUGUCGGUCCUUCAAGUCCUGGCUCUGAUAUUGCCUGCUGUGACCCCCGCCCCCCGACUUCCCCCAUGGCAGGGGCUGCUGCCCUCAUAGCCCCUUUCCUGCCAUCUUCCUGCCGUGAACACAGACUGCACACACCUGACACUCCCCAGGUGCCCAGGAGACAGCUGCCAGCAGAACAAAAGGGUCAAAUGCUACCAUUCCAGCUCCUUGUGGGAAUCCCAGGCUCAGAAAUAGAAGCAUGAAUCCCUUCCACCUCCACUGUCUGAUGGAAAAAGGAAGCACUCAGAACGCGCUGAAGCCCCCUGCUAGUGGGUGGGACAUGGGUUCAUAGGUCUGAUGCAUAGGCUGAUGGAAGGCCUGGGGCAAAAGGAGCUAAGGGGGUCUAAGAUGCUGAUGGAAGCACUGCUCACUGUCCAGUGUAGGCUCUGCUGGUGAUUGUAAUUGGGGAACUUGGCCUCUCAGAGCUGGAAAAUGCCCUCUGCACAGGGAGGCUGGGAGGAUGGAUCCAGGGCCCAUCAGUGAACAAGCCUGCAAGCCUUAAAGGGUGGCACGAGGGACUUCCCUGGUGGCACAGUGAUUAAGAAUCCACCUGCCAAUGCAGGGGACACGGGUUCGAGCCCUCGUCCGGGAAGAUCCCACAUGCCACGGAACAACUAAGCCCAUGUGCCACAACUACUGGGCCUGCGCUCUAGAGCUGGCGAGCCACAACUACUGAGCCUCUGCGCCUAGAGCCUGUGCUCCGCAGCAAGAGAAGCCACCGCAAUGAGAAGCCCACGCACCGCAAUGAAGAAUAGCUCCUGCUCACGGCAACUAGAGAAAGCCCGUGGGCAGCAACGAAGACCCAAC